rnacentral:rRNA from 1 species
GACGAACGCUGGCGGCGUGCUUAACACAUGCAAGUCGAACGGAAAGGCCCUGCUUUUGUGGGGUGCUCGAGUGGCGAACGGGUGAGUAACACGUGAGUAACCUGCCCUUGACUUUGGGAUAACUUCAGGAAACUGGGGCUAAUACCGGGUAUGAUCUCCUGCUGCAUGGUGGGGGUUGGAAAGUUUCGGCGGUGGGGGAUGGACUCGAGGGUUAUCAGCUAGUUGGGGGGGUAGUGGCUUACCAGGCGUUUGACGGGUAGGCGGCGUGAGAGGGUGACCAGGUACCUUAGGCCUACGAUACGGACCAGUAUCCAACGGGACGCAGUGGUGGGGAACCUUGCGCAGCGGCGGGGCGCCAGAUACGACAGUGCCGCGUGCGGAAUACCCUCUUUCGGGUUGAGAACCGAUUUCUAAUGUACCGAGCACUGCGUGACGGUAACGGGUCAAAAAGCCACGGCUAACUACGUG